rnacentral:lncRNA from 1 species
GGCCAGGUAAAAAGAUUGGGAUUCAUCCAAAUGAGCUGCCUGUGCACCAUCAAUGUGUUUGGAGGAGAGGUCUAUUGGAAUGGCUGAUGUUAUCCAUUGCCUACUUACCGGUUGCUCAACCAAGAAAAAUAGCAUUUAGUUGCUAAAUAUACAAUAUAUGUAAUAUGUAUGUAUGUGUAUUUUUUAAUAUUCCUUCAGGCUCUUAACCAAAAUUAUUUUAGAUUAUUUUUUUCCUUCAACUGGUUGAUCUGUUAUUGACUUGUGGCUAUUGAUCUUU